rnacentral:rRNA from 1 species
CAGUCGCCGCGGGAAUACGUAGGGUGCAAGCGUUAAUCGGAAUUACUGGGCGUAAAGCGUGCGUAGGUGGUGGUUUAAGUCCGUUGUGAAAGCCCUGGGCUCAACCUGGGAAUUGCAGUGGAUACUGGGUCACUAGAGUGUGGUAGAGGAUAGUGGAAUUUCCGGUGUAGCAGUGAAAUGCGUAGAGAUCGGAAGGAACAUCUGUGGCGAAGGCGACUAUCUGGGCCAACACUGACACUGAGGCACGAAAGCGUGGGGAGCAAACAGGAUUAGAUACCCCAGUAGUCCCUGUCUCUUAUAC